rnacentral:rRNA from 1 species
UACGUAGGGGGCAAGCGUUGUCCGGAAUCAUUGGGCGUAAAGCGCGUGUAGGCGGUCCGGUAAGUCGGCUGUGAAAGUCCAGGGCUCAACCCUGGGAUGCCGGUCGAUACUGCCGGACUAGAGUUCGGAAGAGGCGAGUGGAACUCCUGGUGUAGCGGUGGAAUGCGCAGAUAUCAGGAAGAACACCGACGGCGAAGGCAGCUCGCUGGGACGGUACUGACGCUGAGGCGCGAAAGCGUGGGGAGCGAACAGGAUA